GUGUUACGCAAGUCGCAAGAGUGGGCUGAUGAUGAAUGAAUGAGUGUAAUCUGGGGGCUCAAACACAUGAGUUCGUUACACCACACCAGCUACACCCUCUUCACUUUGCGCUCUUGACUGCUUUUCAGCACUUUGGAUACCUGAGAAAAUCGGAAUACCAUACAGAAAUGACCGCACCAUUUAUUUUGUGCCCUGCAUAAUUCAAUUAAGAAUCACUGAGCUACUUCCAGCGUUGUAUGCAAGUGCCAAAAGCUGCCAAGCCCCACCCCAUCUGGUCCCACUGCCAUAAUAGCUGGAUGUCCCAAGAAAAGUGGUCCCAAUAGAGGCCAGAGCAAGCUGUAGGAUGGGGCACCAUUUUGAUUACAAACAACUUUAGUUCAUGCGAAGCCCUGGAUCGGGGACUGGUGCUAAUAUCACACAUUUUCUUGUCUUUUUUAAAUUUCAUUUCAAUUUGUCUGGCAAUGAAUAAAGGGGGCGACCUGAAUGGUGUCCCAAAAAUC